rnacentral:rRNA from 1 species
UACGAAGGUUGCAAGCGUUACUCGGAAUUACUAGGCGUAAAGGGCAGGUAGGUGGUUUGGUUAGUCUAUUGUGAAAGCUCCCGGCUUAACUGGGAGAGGCCAAUGGAUACUGCCAAGCUUGAGUAUAGGAGAGGUUACUGGAAUUCCCGGUGUAGCGGUGAAAUGCGCAGAUAUCGGGAGGAACACCAAUGGCGAAAGCAGGUAACUGGACUAUUACUGACACUCAACGGCGAAAGCUAGGGGAGCAAACAGG